rnacentral:lncRNA from 1 species
GUGAGUGUGAGAGCAAGAACAGCCCGCAGGUCCCGAGGCGCUUGCAGGGGACUCUGCCGCGGAAAGUUCCCAGUCCCCAGCCGCAGAAGCUUUUUAUUUUUGGUUGAUUCCUGCUGUCUACUCCUCUUGGAUGCCUUUGUGAAACUGCUUCUAUCUGAGAAGGAGGAGUUGCCAUUUAGCAAGUAGUAGGUGGUACCGUGUGUGGCAGAGUCCGAUGUGUUACACCACGAGGACAUUCAUCUUUGCAAUUGGUGAAGUCCUUCUACCUAGUUCCCCUUCCUUGUGCACAGAAGAGGACUGGAAAACUCCUCACAGGACUGCAUACUGCUAUCUCUGAGAAGUUUCGGUGUGAAAUCAUAUCUUAUUGAAAAUAUGGAUGUAACAUGUUGACACCACAGAAACCCUCAUAACGUAGGCUGCCAGUUGAUCACCCUUUCUACUCCACCUGGGGCAAAGCUGAUUUCAGACACACCUCAGAGAGACCAGAAAGAAGAAAGUACCUCUUCCUUCCAAGCUUCUACCUAAGAGUAUACUGGAAGGUUUACCUAGAGCAACAAGACAACGAAAUGGAUUGUCCUUCUCACGCUAGUCCACACACAAUCCUCAUCAUUUUGAUAAGAUAGCAUGAAGUCUCUUAUCGCUUGUGGAUCCAGCACUUUGGUUCAGAAAUGAGACAGUCAUCAUCUUCAAGGUGAAGAAAUACAGUUUGUCCCUUCCUCUCAAAAUGAAGAAAGCUACAUUCAUGUAUAUGUAUCUGGACUUCAUUAAUUUGUUUCUAUUUCCAUUUUGUUACCUCUCUGAGACAAGUAUGAAGCUUGUCUCUAAAAUUAUAGUUAUGUACUAUUACUCAUUUGAAAUGAUAAUAAUUACUCAUUAAUAAAUACUAAAAUAUUUGAAACCACAAAGCAUUUAAAUUCCUCAUAAGGGGCUAUAGAUGGAAUUAUAAGAGAAAAUACCCUUAAGGUGAUUCCCCAUGACGAUGAAUUAUUCCUGGAGAAUUUGCAACCCUACUGUGACCAUUAGUAUCUGCUGGAUUUCCCUGCUCUAAGAGGCUAAUGUAUCUGACCAACUAAUCAGAGGAACCAUGAGAGCAGAUGAUGCCUGAACCUUCAUUACUUGUCUUUCCUGCUUCUGUAAUUUUGAUGCUUUGUUAUUUUCUGUCUCUGUGCUCAAACACUGAUUGGUUAUUCAAACCAAUGACAAGCUGAAGAAUUGGACAGUCUUCCAGGUGAUUUAUUUUCUAUUUCUUAUUUCUGAAACCUAAAUGUAGCUCAUGUUGUGUAAGAAAAGUCAUCUCUUGACUUUCUGAAAAAUAAUUUUCUGAUCUUUGUCUUGUAUUGUCAAUAGCUUCCUAUACCCUAUACAAACACCAUUGCACUGGCGUGGUAGAGAAAUGCCAUCUAACCUUUUAUUUAAUGAUUAUUAUGUUGGCUGUACUAGAUAAACACAAACCACAGAAAUCAAAA